AGCGAACAUUGGCGGUAGGCUUAACACAUGCAAGUCGAGCGAGGCGUAAUAGUCGAGCGGCGAACGGGUGCGUAAUACAUGGGAAUCUACCCUGAAGUGGGGGAUAACGUUCAGAAAUGGACGCUAAUACCGCAUAAUCCACAUUGGGAAAGCGUUGCAGCGCUUUAGGAUGAGCCCAUGGCUGAUUAGCUAGUUGGUGAGGUAAUGGCUCACCAAGGCGACGAUCAGUAGCUGGUCUGAGAGGAUGACCAGCCACACUGGAACUGAGACACGGUCCAGACUCCUACGGGAGGCAGCAGUGGGGAAUCUUGCGCAAUGGGGCAACCCUGACGCAGCCAUACCGCGUGAGUGAUGAAGGUCUUCGGAUUGUAAAGCUCUUUCGGCGGGGACGACGAUGACGGUACCCGCAAAAGAAGUCACGGCUAACUUCGUGCCAGCAGCAGCCGCCG
rnacentral:rRNA from 1 species